rnacentral:misc_RNA from 1 species
AAAGUCGUAACAAGGUUUCCGUAGGUGAACCUGCGGAAGGAUCAUUACCAAUUUUUAGCGGACCUGACUUUUGGUCAUGGUCUCGCGAAAACUUGUAUUUAAAACCCCACUCUUAUAAAUUGAAUCAUAUUUAUAUGUAUAUAAUAAAUAAAGAUCACUUUCAACAACGGAUCUCUUGGCUCUC